rnacentral:tRNA from 1 species
AGUAAGGUCAGCUAAUUAAGCUCUUGGGCCCAUGCCCCAAACAUGUUGGUUAAAGUCCUUCCUUUACUG